rnacentral:rRNA from 1 species
CGCUGGCGGCAUGCCUUACACAUGCAAGUCGAACGGCAGCACGGGAGCAAUCCUGGUGGCGAGUGGCGAACGGGUGAGUAAUAUAUCGGAACGUGCCCAGUAGUGGGGGAUAGCCCGGCGAAAGCCGGAUUAAUACCGCAUACGACCUGUGGGUGAAAGCGGGGGAUCGCAAGACCUCGCGCUAUUGGAGCGGCCGAUAUCAGAUUAGCUUGUUGGUGGGGUAAAAGCCCACCAAGGCGACGAUCUGUAGCUGGUCUGAGAGGACGACCAGCCACACUGGGACUGAGACACGGCCCAGACUCCUACGGGAGGCAGCAGUGGGGAAUUUUGGACAAUGGGCGCAAGCCUGAUCCAGCCAUGCCGCGUGUGGGAAGAAGGCCUUCGGGUUGUAAACCACUUUUGUCAGGGAAGAAACGGUCUGAUCUAAUACAUUGGACUAAUGACGGUACCUGAAGAAUAAGCACCGGCUAACUACGUGCCAGCAGCCGCGGUAAUACGUAGGGUGCAAGCGUUAUCGGAAUACUGGGCGUAA